AUCGCUUCUCGGCCUUUUGGCUAAGAUCAAGUGUAGCAAUAAGAAAAUUCACUAAUAUAGGUUUGGGUAUUGUAAAUUUAUCUGUUAUGGUUGGACAUUGUUUUUAUGAACUAUAUUAUUUUUUACAAAGCACACACAU
ensembl:snRNA LOC120096847 U2 spliceosomal RNA